AAAUAAAAUAAAUAUGCGGUAAAGUAAAUUUCAUAAAGUAUGAGGGUCAAUUCCACAUCAUACUUUAAGUAAAAGUAAAUUUGCGAUAAAGUAAACGUGCUUGUAUGGGCACUAAUUCUGCUCCAUACAUUUAAAUAAAAGUAAAGGCGUGGACGAUAAACCCGCACCACCCUUUUAAAUAGAUACUGUUGUAUGGGUAAUAAACCUACACCAUACAGUAAAUAAUGUGCAGUAAAGUAAUUUCAUAAAGUAUGAGGGUUAAUUCCACAUCAUACUUUAAGUAAAAGUAAAUUUGCGAUAAAGUAAAGGCAAUUAUUGGUGGGUUCUUAUCAACACCACGAUCAAAUAGUAUAAUAUUAUUAUACUGAUAUAUUAGUGGAAUAUCACGCAUGUUCCAGGCGAAUCCAUGCCCCUCCUUUUUCCACUGCUACCACUGUACCUACACCAAUUGGUUUAUUAAAUACUGUAGAGA
rnacentral:lncRNA from 1 species